rnacentral:tRNA from 1 species
UACGGAGUAGCCAAGCUGGAAAGGCACCUGAAUCUGAAUCAGGCGAUGCGUGGGUUCAAAUCCUACCUCCGUAGCCA